AUCCUUUUGUAGUUCAUAAGUGUGAUGAUUGAGUAUUCACGCUCCUGUGUGAGAUAUGCCUCCCUCAAACCUUGUUGUGACAUGGGCACAUUACCCAUCUGACA
ensembl:snoRNA